UCGUCUUUUUCUUUUUUUGUCUUUUCUUUUCUUUCUUCCCUUGUACUCUCCCAAAAAAAAGGACCACUAAAGCUAAUAAUAAGUGAAAAUGGAGCUUAUAAGUGCUCUUGACUCUUGAUUUAAUUUAUUUUGGUUUUGUUGUAUUUUGAAGUUGACGAAGCCCAUAAAGAGAAAAACUUUAUGUAUAUCUGAUAGGUGAAAUUAUCAAAGUCCAAAAG
rnacentral:misc_RNA from 1 species